GCACCAUCCAGAGCGGCCGAGAGAUCUGGCUCGACGACGCCGCAGCAACCCGCAGGCCCCGCGCCUGGCCGAGGGUGCUACCGCCAGGACCGAUGGAGG
rnacentral:ncRNA from 2 species